rnacentral:rRNA from 1 species
AGAGUUUGAUCCUGGCUCAGGACUAACGCUGGCGGCGUGCCUAACACAUGCAAGUCGAACGGACAUGCCCAUGAAGCUUCGGCAGAGUGGGAGUUACAUGUUAGUGGCGAACGGGUGAGUAUCGCGUAAAUAAUCUACCGCUUAGACGGGGACAACCUAGGGAAACCUGGGCUAAUACCGGAUACGACUUUUGUAUCGCAUGAUACAAAAGUGAAAUCAAUUUGGCUGAGCGAUGAGUUUGCGUCUGAUUAGCUUGUUGGUGAGGUAAUGGCUUACCAAGGCGAUGAUCAGUAGCUGGUCUGAGAGGAUGAACAGCCACACUGGGACUGAGACACGGCCCAGACUCCUACGGGAGGCAGCAGUGAGGAAUUUUGCUCAAUGGGCGCAAGCCUGAAGCAGCGACGCCGCGUGAACGAUGAAGUCUUUCGGGAUGUAAAGUUCUGUCAGUGGGGAAGAUAAUGACGGUACCCACAGAGGAAGGACCGGCAAACUAUGUGUCAGCAGCCGCGGUAAUACAUAGGGUCCAAGCGUUGUCCGGAUUUACUGGGCGUAAAGAGCAUGUAGGCGGCAUUUUAAGUCAAAUUUUAAAGGCUGAGGCUCAACCUUGGUUUGGGUUUGAUACUGGAAUGCUGGAGAUUGGGAGAGGAAAGCGGAACUAACGGUGUAGCGGUGAAAUGCGUAGAUAUCGUUAGGAACACCCGUGGCGAAGGCGGCUUUCUGGACCAAAUCUGACGCUGAGAUGCGAAAGCGUGGGUAGCAAACAGGAUUAGAUACCCUGGUAGUCCACGCUGUAAACGAUGUACAUUAGGUAUAGAGGGUAUCGACCCCUUCUGUGCCGAAGCUAACGCGUUAAAUGUACCGCCUGGGGAGUACGAUCGCAAGAUUAAAACUCAAAGGAAUUGACGGGGGCCCGCACAAGCAGUGGAUCAUGUGGUUUAAUUCGACGAUACGCGAAAAACCUUACCAGAACUUGACAUCUAGGGAAGUUUCUAGAAGUAGAAAUGUGCCUUCGGGAACCCUAAGACAGGUGGUGCAUGGUUGUCGUCAGCUCGUGUCGUGAGAUGUUGGGUUAAGUCCCGCAACGAGCGUAACCCUCGUGUUGUGUUGCUACAUUUAGUUGAGAACUCACAACAGACUGCCCGUGGAAAACGGGAGGAAGGUGGGGAUGACGUCAAAUCAUCAUGCUCCUUAUGUUCUGGGCUACACACAUGAUACAAUGGCCAGUACAAUGGGCAGCGAAACCGCAAGGUGGAGCUAAUCUCAAAAAACUGGCCUCAGUUCGGAUUGCAGGCUGCAACUCGCCUGCAUGAAGUUGGAAUUGCUAGUAAGCGCAGAUCAGCACGCUGCGUUGAAUACGUUCCCGGGCCUUGUACACACCGCCCGUCACACCAUGAAAGCCGGAAAUAUCCGAAGUCAGUGAGCCAACCGCAAGGGGGCAGCUGCCUAAGAUAGAGUCGGUGAUUGGGGUGAAGUCGUAACAAGGUA